rnacentral:rRNA from 1 species
UACGUAGGGUGCAAGCGUUGUCCGGAAUCAUUGGGCGUAAAGAGCGUGUAGGCGGCUCGAUCAGUCCGCUGUAAAAGUCCAGGGCUCAACCCUGGGAUGCCGGUGGAAACUGUCGGGCUAGAGUCCGGGAGAGGCGAGUGGAAUUCCUGGUGUAGCGGUGAAAUGCGCAGAUAUCAGGAGGAACACCGGUGGCGAAGGCGGGUCUCUGGGCCGAUACUGACGCUGAGGAGCGAAAGCGUGGGGAGCGAACAGG